UAGGAAUCAUCUCCCGAAGAAGUUUCCUAGU
rnacentral:piRNA from 1 species